ACAAGAGGCAUCAAAAAAUACAAAACUACAACACCACAAAAAGUGACACUGUUAAAGAAAGUGUGCAAGAUGUGUAAAACAACAACAAAAUGUGGGAAGACAAAUGGAGAAAGUCCCAAGUUCAGGAACUGAACCCUGGACCGCUACGUCUAUGACUAUUAGCCUCCACAUCAUUACGUCACGCACCACCCAAACUACAUCAGAUUUUACUUUUCCGUACUGACCUCUUCCAGCAGUCGGGUGACAGCAUCAAUGUCGCUGUAGGUCUUUGUCAUCUGGCCCACUCUGUCUGCACACAACACUGCAGGAGGGAGACACGGAGGGAAUGAUUCAGUUAUCAUUUCCUAGUGGAAGGUACAUGUCUCAUCAUGGCUGACUUUUCCACAUGCCACCUUUGAAGCCCUAAAAAAAGCCAAAGAACUUUGAUCACAUCUGACGCUUUCAACGUUUAUCUUUAGCAAAAAGGGAAUGUGAUGCAAGGAAUAUGCAAAACAAUAAUGCAAAAAGAGUCGGCCCAUGCAAAGCACACAUUUUAUUAUCAACACUUGGAGCAACAGCGUGGCUGUCAGAAACAAGAUAUACAGCAUGUUGUAAAAGUAUUUAUACCCCUACAGGGUUUUUUUGUUCUUCAUAUUUUACAAUGUUGGGACCACAGCCUUAAAUUUUAUGUAAUGGAGGAAUGUUUAGAUAUGAUCCUUCAAGUUCAACUAUAAAAGUAGGUGUUAGAAUGGCCCAGUCAAAACCUAGACAUAGGUUACAGCACCUUACAGUACAGUAUAACUGUUCUGUGUUAUCAUAUUGUGCUUUCAACCUUCGUCUGUUAUGGAGCAUGCUUGAUUUGGAAAUGUUGGCAGUUUUUUUGGGUUAAGGUUAAAGAUCAAGACCAUCUUAGGGACACACACACAGAGAGUGCUGCUUUAGUAAUUCUAUCUACUUACCGCAAAUGCGAAUAUAAACUGCUAGAGACAGC